rnacentral:tRNA from 2 species
GGAAGCGUGGCCGAGCGGUUUAAGGCACUGGUCUUGAAAACCAGCGAUGGGCAACCAUCCGUGAGUUCGAAUCUCACCGCUUCCG